rnacentral:rRNA from 1 species
AGAACGAACGCUGGCGGCAUGCCUAACACAUGCAAGUCGAACGCUCUUGGUUUCGGCCAAGGGAGUGGCGCACGGGUGAGUAACGCGUGGGAACCUGCCCUGGAGUGGGGGAUAACCGAGGGAAACCUCGGCUAAUACCGCAUACGACCUGAGGGUGAAAGAUUUAUCGCUCUAGGAGGGGCCCGCGUCGGAUUAGCUCGUUGGUGAGGUAACGGCUCACCAAGGCUAUGAUCCGUAGCUGGUCUGAGAGGAUGAUCAGCCACACUGGGACUGAGACACGGCCCAGACUCCUACGGGAGGCAGCAGUGGGGAAUAUUGGACAAUGGGCGCAAGCCUGAUCCAGCAAUGCCGCGUGAGUGAUGAAGGCCUUAGGGUUGUAAAGCUCUUUCGCACGCGACGAUGAUGACGGUAGCGUGAGAAGAACGCCCGGCUAACUUCGUGCCAGCAGCCGC